CUUUCUUGGCUCAGAGGCCAGGGAAAGGCGCGAGGUCCCGGGAGCCCCGAGCUGAGGACCAAUGGCCAUGAACUUUCAGGAAAACGUGACCCUGGCCGUAGCCGUCUUCACCAUCCUCGCCUCCAUCUACUUCUUCAACAAGGCUCAGCAGUGAUGGUCGCCAGCUCGCCUGUCCAGAGCUGGCCUCUGCCGCCUGCACCGUGACCAUGGCCUCAGUGACCGAAUAAACAGAACAGCACCCG